rfam:Triticum aestivum genome assembly, contig: Triticum_aestivum_CS42_TGACv1_scaffold_593278_7BS
CACAUACUCCCUCUGUCUAGAAUUACUUGUCGUAUAAAUGGAUAAAAAUGGUUGUAUCUAGAACUGAAAUAUAUCUAGAUACAUUUAUUUCUCCGACAAGUAAUUCCGGACGGAUUGAGUAUAAG